UAGCCGCAGAAAUUUAACUGUGCUAAGGUAGCAUAAUCAUUUACCUUUUAAUUAAAGGUUUGUAUGAAUGAUUUAACAUUUAAUUUAUUUUUUUAUUAAACUUUAUUCAAUUUAAAUUAAAAAUAAAAAUGUUUUUAUAAAAAAAAAAGACGAUAAGACCCUAUUGAACUUAACUUAUGUUAAGCUGGGGAAGCUAAUUAAAUAUAAUUUUAAUUCUUAAGAUUAAAAUAAUUUCUAAUAUAAUUAAAUUUUAAAGUUACCAUAGGGAUAACAGCGUAAUAUAAUUUUAAAGCUCAUAUUAAAAGUUAAGCUUACGACCUCGAUGUUGAAUUAGAAUUUCUAAUAAACGCAAGCGUUUAUGAAGUAGGUCUGUUCGACCUUUAAUAUUCUACA
rnacentral:rRNA from 1 species